UACGGAAGGUGCAAGCGUUGCUCGGAAUCACUGGGCGUAAAGGGUGCGUAGGCGGCCGUGCAAGUCUGGCGUGAAAGCCCCGGGCUCAACCCGGGAAGUGCGCUCGAAACUGCGCGGCUCGAGUGCCGGAGGGGAGAGUGGAAUUCCUGGUGUAGCGGUGAAAUGCGUAGAUAUCAGGAGGAAUACCGGUGGCGAAAGCGGCUCUCUGGGCGGCAACUGACGCUGAGGCACGAAAGCGUGGGGAGCAAACAGG
rnacentral:rRNA from 1 species